ACAAUGAUGAUGUCACUGAUUCUACUGCUGGCCACCCUGGGGCUCCUUGUUCAGGGUUCAUCAGGACAAAUCACGGUGACUCAGUCUCCUGGAUCUCAGUCUGCUGUUCCAGGACAGGCUGUCUCUCUCAAAUGUAAAACCAGUACAAGUGUUACUAGUUAUGGGUCUAGCUGGCUCCACUGGUACCUUCAGAAACCUGGAGAAGCUCCUAAACUCCUGAUUUAUUAUGCUACAACCCGUCAGUCUGGAGUUCCAGAUCGUUUUAGUGGAAGUGGAUCUGGGACUGACUUCACUCUGACCAUCAGUGGAGUUCAGGCUGAAGAUUCAGGAGUUUACUACUGUCAGCAGAGUAACAGCAGACCGUUCACACAGUGAUACAACGUCGUACAAAAACCUCCCUCAGCUGGA